ensembl:lncRNA
GUUUAUUGGCCCAUAAACGUAAUUCAGGGUGAGGAACUAACUAACAUCAAAUUAAAAAAGUGAAAUUCUCCUUUAAUGGUCUUGGGUUAAUGAGUGAAGUUUUUUGUCAGGCCAGUGAAGUUCGGAAAAAGAAAAGCUGCUCAGCAGGGAAGCCAAUAACUCCUUGGCACCCCUCCUCUCAUUCCUCAGUUUGAUCAUAGGUCUAAAAGACUAUAGACAGAAGACAAUGAAGAGGAAUAUGAAGCACCUGCAAUACUAUCAAUUUCUAUUCUGCUACCUUCUGCUGACUAUCAAAGAUCAUGCACUCUGUGUCAAAGAAAUCACAAUUACUCCGGCUGAACCACAUGUCAAGCUGGGAGAUGCUGUGACCCUAACCUGUGAAACAACCUGUGAAGGCAAACCACAGUGGAAGCAACUAGACGACAGUGAUGCUGAAAUCACUUUCGAUGGGAAAAAAAGUUUUCUAAAGAUUGCAGCUGUACAGCUGGAUCACCAACAAACAUAUACCUGCACUGUGGCCAAAUGUCUUACACGGAAGAAGGAAUCAGUCAAGCUCAUCGUUGACAGUCUUUCCACAGAAGGAGUAGAUGUUGAGGUCAUUAGCAUUACGAAAAAAGAUACCAGAGUUACCCCAGAUCCUUUAAAAACAACAGUUAAGGCUGAUGUACUUCCAGUUCACACCACAGAAAACCCAACAGAGAUGUUGCCAACAACGACAUGGCCCGCUACUAUUAAUGCACUUAAGGAAAAAGGAAUAGAUGUUGAGGUCAGUAGCAUUACAAAAAAGCUACCAGAGGUUGCGUCCACAUCAUUUCUCCCUACCAAAACAAGAGAUCCACAAGUAGAAGAUCCUUCAAAAACAACAAUCAAGGCUGAUAUAUUUCCAGUUCACACUACAGAAAAUAUAACUAAAAUGUUGCCAACAACAUUACUGCCCACCACUAUUAAGCCUCUGAAAGACACAGCAGGGGCAGCUUCCAGCUCCACUAUAAUGGCCAUGGCUGUAGUGGGCUCAGUGGCAACUCUCUCAUUCCUGGGAUUCUUGAUUCACCUGAUCCGCCGGAAGAAACGCAAGUUGUCCCCUAAUGACAUGUAGAACCACCUGGAUGACUGCUGACCAAAAUUGCAUCAGCUUCAUCUCAUUUCAAGCUUUUUUUGUCCAAUAUAUUUAAUGCUAUUAUAACACUCCUUCAUACAGCUUUCCCUGCAUCAGCUUAAACCUAAUAUAAUACACUGAUCAAAAAAAUUUAAGGAACACUUAAAUCAUACAUCGGGUCUCGAUGAACGACAUAUGUUAAAGAUCAUAACCUUUACUGUACAUUGUGUAAUUAUCACGGUCGUAGGUAUGCAUGAUAUGUGGCGCAGAGCGAGUAAAGGGAAACAUCCUUUUAUUAUAACGCAAAAAAUAACAAAAGGAGAGGCAAACCUAACACAAACAAUGAUCCACAAGUGAAAAGUCCAAAAGGGAAACUUAAAUAGGGUCCCCAAUUAGAGGCAACAUGCGGCAGCUGCUGCCUCUCAAUCACCAACCGAUUGAGGGCUGGAUUCAAACUGAAAAUCAAAGUAAACAACUAAAAUCACAGGCUGUUCCAACUUAAUGUGACUCAUAAUGUGACCCAGUAGUGUGUGCCUGUAUGCAAUGCCGACAAUGUCUGGGCGUGCUCCUGAUGAGAUGGCGGAUGGUGUCCUUGGUGAUCUCCUCCCAGACCUGGAUCAGGGCAUCAGUGAACUCCUGGACAGUCUGUGGCACUACUUGAUAGGAUUCAGGUCUGGGAUUCAGGUCUGAGAACGUGAAACCGGUAAUGCUAGAUGAUGUUGUAAGCAACGUUCACCACAGCGUCUCCAGACUCUUUCAUGUCUGUCACGUGCUCAAUUUGAACCUGUGCUCAUCUGGGAAAAGAAUGUAACGCCAAUGGCGGACCUGCCAAUUCUGGUGUUCUCUAGUGAAUGCCAAUCGAACUGCAUGGUGCUGGGCUGUGAGCAUAGGUCCCACUAGAGGACGUCAGACCCUCAAGCCACCCUCAUGGAGUCUGUUUCUGACAAUUUGGUCAGAAAUAUGCACACAUUAGCCUGCUGGAAGUCUGGCUCUGGCAGUGCUCCUCCUGUUCCUCCUCACACAAAGGAGCAGGUACCGGUCCUGCUGCUGGUUUGAUGCUCUUCUAUGGCCCUGUACAGCUCUCCCCGUGUAACGGCUCGUCUCCUGGUAUCUCCUCCAUGUUCUUGAGACUGUACUGUGAGACACAGCAAACCUUCUUGCGACGGCACGUAUGGAUUUGCUAUUCUGGAAGAGCUGGACUGCCUGUGCAACCCGAGUGGGCUGUAGGUACCGCCACAUGCUACCAGUAGUGACAACCACACUAGCAAAAUGCAAAAAUAAAGAAGAAUCAGUCAGGAAGGAUAAGGAGAGAGCAAUUGUCUGUUGCCACCACCUGCAAACCAUUCCCUUUUUGGGGGUUGUCUAGCCGUUGCCUCUCCAGUAAACCUGUUGUCUCUUUCAUUUGCACCAAUGCAGUGACAUUGAUUCACAAUUGAUAUCCCUCAAAUUCACUUGGUGUUAUACUGUGAUGAUUGUGUUCCCUUAAUUUUUUAGCAGUGUAUUUGCUAUGGUACUACCUGAUAAAAUUAAGGACAAUGUACAAAGAAUGACACCCAAGAAGAACAGUCUAAUUUGGAAAAAAAUAUGUAACUAACAUGAAGUUUGAUUAAUAUCAUAUCCAUAUAAAAAGAAAAAUAUAGCAACAUUUUUGAUUUCCUGAGGUUUAUUUUAAAUAGACAUUCCUGUUUAGGUAUUUCUGUUGUGAUGUUAACUUUUUUUAUACAUUUCAUUAUACACCGAUGCAGGAGCGUCACCAGACCUGGGCUUUCAUUUAAUUCUACAUGUUAUAUUUUUAAGUGGAACAUUAUAUCAAAUAGACAUGACUAAAUGGCAUCUGUAGCAACAUUACCAUGAAAAAGCCUAAAUAAGUUAAUAAAGCAUGUGAAUUUAAACACAAACAGUAAUUUCUACUACUACUUGUUUUCUUUUGUUUUUUGCAUACACUGUGGUAUAAGCGGGACAGACCUUUUUCUGUAACAUCACCUUGGCAAAAAUGAACUCCUUCCAUUCCAUUGUCUGAUGCAACUAGAAUCCUGCAGGAAUGUCAUCUGUUGUGAAGGAAUCAUGCAGGUGUCCUGCAGGAAUCCUGAAGGAUUGACCUUGAUGAGAGAUUAUCCUGCAGAAAUCCAGAGAAUAUUGCACAACCCUGAAAAUUCAUGCAGGAAUCAAAAUCCUGCAGACUUCUAAAUUCCUGCAGGAUAUGACGAUCCCUGCAGGAAUAAAAAUUCCUGAAAAUGAAUAUUCUAGCAUGAAUCACACUGUAUAUUUUAAUAAACAAGCUGGAUAUGGCAAUUCCUGCUGGACUAAAACCGUCAGGAUUUAGAUUUUCCUGCAGGACAUGUGAAAAUGUGAAUUCCUGACAAUUUCUGUCAUCUGCUCAUACUAGUCAUGUAAUAUUAAGUAUUUAAUAUCUUGCAGGUGGAUUUCAGUCACACUAAGUAGAAGCAAUAGAUUCUGGGCUAGUAUUUUUUAUUGUCUCACUCAGAAUUUGAAACAAGCACAAGAUACUUUUAGAAAACGUUUUAAAAACAGCCAUGUAACAAUACAUGAUGUAAUAACACCGCAUUAUGUAAUAACUUGACCAAAUGUAAUACAUUUUCAAUUCAUUUUGUAAUAACACCCACAUUUUUACUAAUCUGCUUCAUUUGUAAUAAUCAGCUUGAAAGCAAUUUGUACUAAAUGUCCCCGCAUUUUGUAACAAAUUAUUACAUUAUGUGGUGAUUAUUACAAAAUGUGGGAGUUGGACUUAUAAAAAAUGAAAAUGUAAUUAUAUAGUGCAUUAUGUAAUAC